GAUCAUGGCUCAGAUUGAACGCUGGCGGCAGGCCUAACACAUGCAAGUCGAGCGGGAACUUCGGUUCUAGCGGCGGACGGGUGAGUAAUGCGUAGGAAGCUACCCGACAGAGGGGGGAUACCAGUUGGAAACGACUGUUAAUACCGCAUAAUGUCUACGGACCAAAGUGUGGGACCUUCGGGCCACAUGCUGUCGGAUGCGCCUACGUGGGAUUAGCUAGUUGGUGAGGUAAUGGCUCACCAAGG
rnacentral:rRNA from 1 species